rnacentral:tRNA from 1 species
GCCGAAGUGGCGGAAUUGGUAGACGCGCUAGAUUCAGGGUCUAGUUGGGGUUAACCCAGUGGGGGUUCGAGUCCCCCCUUCGGCACCA